UAGAAAGUAAUAUAAGGGGAGUAUGGAGGGUUUUGAUCCCUCUAGUGUGGGUUCGACUCCUGCCUUUCUAA
rnacentral:tRNA from 1 species